GACCAGACUCCUACGGGAGGCAGCAGUGGGGAAUAUUGCACAAUGGGGGGAACCCUGAUGCAGCGACGCCGCGUGGGUGAAGGAGAACCUCGGUGCGUAAAGCCCUCUCGGCAGGGAAGAAACAGACGGGACCUGACUAAGAGGCCCCGGCUAACUACGUGCCAGCAGCCGCGGUAAUAAGUAGGGGGCAAGCGUUAUCCGGAUUCACUGGGUGUAAAGGGAGCGUAGACGGCGACGCAAGUCUGGAGUGAAAGCCCGGGGCCCAACCCCGGGACUGCUCUGGAAACUGCGUCGCUGGAGUACGGGAGGGGCAGGCGGAAUUCCUGGUGUAGCGGUGAAAUGCGUAGAUAUCAGGAGGAACACCGGCGGCGAAGGCGGCCUGCUGGACCGUGACUGACGUUGAGGCUCGAGAGCGUGGGGAGCAAACAGGAUUAGAUACCCGUGUACC
rnacentral:rRNA from 1 species